rnacentral:rRNA from 1 species
CCUACGGGAGUCAGCAGUGGGGAAUAUUGGGCAAUGGGCGCAAGCCUGACCCAGCCACGCCGCGUGAGGGAAGAAGUCUUUCGGGUUGUAAACUUCUUUUAAGAGGGAAGAGCAGAAGACGGUACCUCUUUCAUAAGCCACGGCUAACUACGUGCCAGCAGCCCCGGUAAUACGUAGGUGGCAAGCUUUGUCCGGAUUUACUGGGUGUAAAGGGCGUGUAGCCGGGCUGACAAGUCAGAUGUGAAAUUCCCGGGCUCAAACCCGGACCUGCAUUUGAAACUGUUGGGCUUGAGUAUCGGAGAGGCGGGCGGAAUUCCUAGUGUAGCGGUGAAAUGCGUAGAUAUUAGGAGGAACACCAGUGGCGAAGGCGGCCUGCUGGACGACAACUGACGGUGAGGCGCGAAAGCGUGGGGAGCAAACAGGAUUAGAUACCCGGGUAGUC